UACGUAGGGUGCAAGCGUUAAUCGGAAUUACUGGGCGUAAAGCGUGCGCAGGCGGUUGUGCAAGACAGAUGUGAAAUCCCCGGGCUCAACCCUGGGAAUUGCAAUUUGUGACUGCACGGCUAGAGUGUGUCAGAGGGGGGUAGAAUUCCACGUGUGAGCAGUGAAAUGCGUAGAGAUGUGGAGGAAUACCGAUGGCGAAGGCAGCCCCCAUGGGAUAACGACUGAACGCUCAUGCACGAAAGCGUGGGAGCAAACAGGAUU
rnacentral:rRNA from 1 species